CCUACCAUGAGAAGGUGGGGGGCAUUUAAGUCUUUGUAUAAAAUUGGAAGGUGAAGUAUCCCUAUUAAUCGCAGUUUUGUGAUGGGCUUUUUAAUGAAUGAUGUUAAUUUUAUCUUAUUUUGUUAAUAAAUUCUAUAAUAUAUUUAAUUUUUUUAUCACUAAAUAUUUAUUUAUAUUAAAUUAUUAAUGCCAAUAUUGUGUUUAAAAUUAAUUAAAAAUCUUUCUAAUAUUUGUGUUUUCUAAUAUUUAUGUUUUGAACCCUCCUGCAUCAUCAGAACACUUAAAUAACAAACACACCGGUUAAAAUCUAAAUUACAACAUUUUUAUGAUGAACUCUCGAUAAAACUUCCAUCUCUGCGUUGAAUUCAAGCCCACCUUGCACCGAUCCUUGUCGACAUCGUUUUAUGGCAAUCAGUUGUCCAGUAGGAAGCAUCCCUCUAUAAACCUGUACACAAAAAUGUUGAAAGAUUCAAGUAUUGUGUCGCUGAAAAAAUAAAUGAACAUUCUCUAUUUAGUCAGCACAUUCUACAAGUUAAAAUGGUCAUAACAAGUUUAAAUUCAAUAGAAAACAUUGCAUCCAGCCCAGAUAACUACAAUUUGAUAGUUUACUUUCAAAUGCUCAUUCUUAAUAUUUGGUAUUCCAUUUCAGUUCAGAAGUUAGAUAGUUUGAAAGCAAAUUGCAACCAGCAACACCCACCACAAUCAUUGUUUAUGCAAAUGAAACCACCAUGACAGGACAGGAAAAGAGGGAGAGACUUGCCAUUUUGUAACCCCCUGAUCCAAUAUGAUUGGCUUCCGAGAAAUUAUUGGUGCUCUUUGUAAUCUCAACGAAAGAGAAGUGUCUGGCUCCCUUCAACUGAGGAACUCUGCCACACAAUUGCAACAAGUUUUCCAUGACAAUGUUACAAGUUUGUAUGCAUGUAAGAAUGGUAUGAAAAGUUGAAAACAGUUCACUAAUUAUCCCUGUUAACUUCAGCAGAUCAUGUCCAGAAAAAAAAAAAAAACAAGCAGAGUUUAAAUCAAGUUCUACAAGAUAUAAUAGCAUAACAAUACUAAUUAUUCAAGUUCUACAAGCAUAACAAUAUAUUAACCUGUAAUUGCACUUAAUUACAGGUUAAGUGCAAUUAAUUAUGAGAAAUUUGCUAAAACAGAAUGUUAUUUCUAGAUAAUUUCUACAAGCAAACGUGUGAAACACAAUUCAAGAAAUUAAUUAGUGAACUAUUUUCAACUUUUCAUGCUAUUGAACUGUGGCCCGUGGGUUAAGGAAUCACAAGGAAUAUAAACCAUGCAUUUUAAUCGUAUGUACAUGCUUUCUUGGAAUAUAUUCAUGAAAAUUAAUUGUAAGUCUUUGCAUAAAUAUGAGAGAACAAGAUGAAUGUCGGAGACAGUAAAUAAUUUUGGCAGCUGCAUCAAAAAAUCAUCCUUACACUAAAUUUAAGCAUAUUUCUAGAAUCCCAAAUCAACCAAAACACCACUCUAAGCUCAAACUUCGAUUUUUUGUAAGAAUAUACCACUUUAACAAAUACACAAAUCACAGAGCAUAUGUUUUUAAAAAAAACAAAGAUUGACAAAACAAAAAAUCAUACCUGGUGUGACAAGAUUCAAGGUCGGGUCAGGUGUGAGAGAGGGAGGUGACUGGUUUGCUAGAUCUGGAGGUUAGGUGUAGUGUGUGUCAUGCCCGUGUAGGAGACUGGGAGAGGAAUAUGGAUGGUUUGUAUAGAUCUGUAGAGUCAGGGACUCAAGAGAAUGGAGAUGAAGAUUUAUUAUUUUUGAUCUGGUUUGUGAGGGUUGAGAGGGGCGGCUGGACGACUGGGAGAGUGAGAGAGUAUGAGAUUGAGAGUUUGAGACUUACGAAAGAUCUGUGAAUUUGAGAUCUGUGAACUGAAUCAGUGAAUUGUGAGUUUGUGAGGGUUGAGAGGGGGCGGCUGGACGUAGAGGAUGGGUGUGUGCUUGCUAGGGUUAAUAAUUUUUGUAUUUAUAGGACCCCUUAACUGAACCGGUUCGGUUCGGUUGGGGUUUGGUCGGUUUCAGGUUUCUUAAACCGAAACCGAACCGAACCGAACUUUUUUGUAAAAAAAAUAAUCGGUUUGAUCGGUUUUUUUUUUCGGUUCGGUUUUUUCGGUUAUUUUUUUCUCGGUUUUCUCGGUUUCUCGGUUUUUUUGCUCACCCCUAAUUGUUUCAUUAUAGGGAAAGAGAAGUGGAGAGGCUCUUUCCUCUCUCUGAAUAAAAAAAGAGAGGAGAAUUUAAGGUCAAUAAGGAGGGAGGCUGGAUCAUGUGUGUGUCUAUACCUUGUUAUGGGCGUUAAAAAAAAUUAAUGGAAAGUGUCCCUACCAUGAGGUGGGGGCAUUUAAGUCUUUGUAUAAAAUUGGAAGGUGAAGUAUCCCUAUUAAUCGCAGUUUUGUUGUCAUUUGCACACUGUUUUUUGCUUCGUCCGCAGCAGCCCCUGGAAUCUGCUAAAUACUAUCCUACAAACAGUUCUUUUUUAAUUAAUUCACUAUUUUACCCAUAACCAGGAGAGUUAGCUUUUCGGUUAUGGGCAGAACUCUUGGUUAGUUGAGUACUCACUGCCUUUCAGUUUUUGUGAAGCGAAUUUCAUGCCAAUUGAAAAUGUUUUUACACGUGUAUUUCCUUUCCUUUUUUGUGUUCGUCACAUUAAUUGAUCCCGCC
rnacentral:lncRNA from 1 species